rnacentral:lncRNA from 1 species
CUGUCUUAAACAAAGGAUGUGCUCAGAGCUCCAACCACACCCAAAAGCCCAUGCUUUGAAGGAUCUGCCAAGCUCACUUUUAAUCAUGAGAAAGAAAUUACCCACAUGGAGACAGCAGAAAAUGAGAAAGCAAAGCUCGUGCUGUGAAUAAUUCCAGCGAGUGCCAAGGGGCUAGUUGAGGAAUGGUUUCACGAGG